UACGGAGGAUGCAAGCGUUAUCCGGAAUGAUUGGGCGUAAAGCGUCCGCAGGUGGUUUGGUAAGACAGGUGUGAAAUCCCCGAGCUCAACUUGGGAACUGCACUUGUUACUGCCAGACUAGAGUGUGUCAGAGGGGGGUAGAAUUCCACGUGUAGCAGUGAAAUGCGUAGAGAUGUGGAGGAAUACCGAUGGCGAAGGCGGCCCCCUGGGCUAACACUGACGCUCAUGCACGAAAGCGUGGGGAGCAAACAGG
rnacentral:rRNA from 1 species